CCUCCCUUACGCAGCUGUUGAGGAGUAACAGCUAAAGUGCGUGCCAGGGGAUUAAUAUUAUUGACCAGGCAGCACAGGACAUCUUGAGUGGGCUUCUUCUCAUAUCGCAAGAUGUUUUUUUAAUGCGUCAUGAUGACAGUGUGACUGAACUCAGAAAUAACAUCCUUGUAACCAUGGCAGCAAAUGAUGAAUCUCCAGAAGAUUUUGAGAAGUUUCUGGAACUGAAAGAAAGAUGCAAGAUUCUCUUUGAAGCAGACCCUUCUCAGGCCCAUUCUGAUGCCUCACUAAAAAGGUUCCUCCGAGCAUUUACAGAUGUUGAUGUCGCAAUGAAGCAGCUGCUCAAAUGCAACAAGUGGCGGCGAGAAUAUGGUGUUGACUCAUUGUCACCUGAUGACCCUGACAUAGCUGCGGAAAUGACAACUGGCAAGGUUCACAUUUUGCGUAACCGUGACAAUAAGGGAAGACCUGUGGUGUAUGUGGCAGUCCGCAAACACAACGCUUACGAGAGAGAUAUAGAGAAGUUAAAGAAGUUUCUUGUUUACAUACUAGAGUCUGCAUGUAAGAAGUGCAACGAAAGUGUCAUUGACAAUUUGCUGCUCAUCUUUGACAUGAAAGGGUUCACGAUGGCUUGCAUGGACUAUCAAUUUGUUAAGAAUCUUAUCUGGAUUCUGUCUCGCAACUAUCCUGAGCGCCUAGGUGCCUGCCUUAUCAUCAACUCACCUCUCAUCUUUUCGGGCUGCUGGACUGUUGUCAGACCCUGGUUGAAUGAUGUGACUGCUAGCAAGGUGAUCUUUCUUGCUGGUGAGAAAGAACUGUGCCAAUAUAUCAACCCUGAUGCUUUACCUCCUGAUGAGGAAUUAGGUGCCUGAUCAGGCCACCUUCCAGCAGGAUCUUUUCAUCUCAUCACUGUCAGUAGUCUUGCCUGCUUUUGUUCAACAGUGAUAUAUGCCUCAGGGGCAGCACAUGGAUAGAUACGGCAGCUGACAACACCUAUUUUGGGCAAUAAAGAGCAGGUCUCCACAGGAUGACCAGUCCAGUCUUUGACAUUUGUAAGCCAGUUUUUCCUCUGGCCAACGAUGGUGUUGAUCACCCUACAAGGUACCUCGAAGGACAAUCUUCAACAAGGUGUUGUGCCAGGGCAUAUGGCAAAACCAGACCAGCUUACAUUGACUGUUGCGAGUACAGGUUCCUCAUGUCCUACAAAUGUGGCGACCGUGCUUUGUACAAAGUCAUUAGCUUUGUGUUCUCUGCAUGAAAUCUGCAGCAGCCUUCUCAGGUAUUUGCUUUUAGAUGUCUGGAUUCUCUUCUUUAUAUUGGCAAGCCGAGUCCAUGUUUUAUAUCCAUAGAGAGCAGGAUUGAUACUACAAGAUUGUACUUUGUAGUAAACUUGAUGUUAUGGCUGUGCCAGACCUUGCUACCCUGUUGUGGAGCUGCUGUCCUUGGAGAGGGUGGCUUCCAAGUACUUAAAGCUGUUUACCUCUUUGAGCCAUACACUGUUUAUGUAGAUCUCUGCUUUUCCAUUGCCAGUGCUCAUAACUUCGCUCUUAUCAAUGCUGGUCUCCAUUCACAGUUUUUGACCUGUCUGUCAGUCUGCUGGUAAGAUAUUGGAGUUCUUUAUUGGUAUGUGUAAACAGGUCUAUGUAGUCUGCAAAGUGUAGGUUGCACCAGUGGAAAAAGAAGUGUGAUGGUGAUAGAGUUUUUCACACAUGAUAUUCUCCUAGAAGAUAUUGAACAGCACAGAUGAAAGUGGGAAGCCUUGAUGUACGCUUGCUGUAGUGCAAACAUAAGUUUCUAUUUGGUUACUGCACUCCUUGAAAUACUAUACAGCGCUUUGAUGACUUGGACAAGGCCUUCUUCGAAAGUUGAAUUUUUGCAUCACAUACCAUAGCUUCUCAUACUAAACUCUAUUGAAAUCCUUAAAGUCUGUGAAGUUGUGAUAGAGGUCCUGCUGAUGCUGAAAGUGCUUCUUUGUCAGGACGUGACAGUUAAAGAUCUGCUCAACUGUGCUUUUACCUGGUCUGAAGCCUCCCUGUUCUUCUAUUAGCAGUCCCUCCACUGUGGUACUGAUGCAGAUCUGCAUUACUUUCAGCAUAAGUUUGCUUGGGUGGCCGAUUAAGCUUAUGGUUCUGUAGUUCUGGCACUGUUUGCUGUUUCCUUUGUUGGGAGUGACUUCAUCUAUUCUUUGGACCAUUAUUUACACUCCCAGACCUUUUGGCACAGAGCAGGGAGGGCCUUUGCAGUUUCUUCCCCAACCUGCUUGAGUACCUCAGCUGGAACAUUGUAAGGGUGUUGUAAGCUGGAAUGUUGGAAAGGUGGUGGUGGUUUGAUUGUUGGGAUGUUUUCUGCAUGAGUGAAACCUUUAUGGAAAAAAUUUUUGUUUUGUAGAUCGGUAACCCAUUACAUAUUUUGUUGUUGUUAUCAUCUAUGUUUAUAUCAGAUUUAUACAUAACAAAGAGCUAUAAGUAAACAUAUGAGUACUGGACUUACAUGCAAAUAUUUACGAACCAUAAAUUUGCUUAUAUACAGGAAUGGCAUAUAAAACUUGUACUAUGACACAUAUGUACAGGUGUGUGUGUGUGUGUGGAUCAUGCUUAUAGCCAGUGUAUGUUAAUAAGUGAAUUGUAUAUCAUUGUGUGUCAGUAAAGAGUUUAUCAGUAUUGCUUUUAUAGAGCAGACUAUUUUAAUGCUAUUCUGUGAUAGUGUUGACCAAUAUCAGUUACUAUUCUUUGAUCUGACUGUCAGAUAUUUUUUAGUCAGUUUCAAUAUUGCAUGUGUGGUUAAGGAUCAGGAAAUUCAUUUUACAAAUGUAUCUGUAUUUUGGUUUGAGGGACAUAUAUUUAUAUUUUUGUUAUUAAAUGUGAAUGCUUAUGUA
rnacentral:misc_RNA from 1 species